GGGCAAGCCUCAUUUAUAUUCCAACUGUAGAGGGAAAUAAAAAUACCCCAAUUUUCCUAAGUCCAAUCUCUAUUCUCUCCUAGUAUUCAAAUUUUAUUUUAAUUCUGACCAUAAUCCAAACACAUCGAGGGAUAUGGCUACUCAGAUUCCCAUUCAAUCCAUUCCAAUUUAGAUUCCAAUUCUGAUUAUGAUCAUGAACCAAAUGCAUCCUAAAAGUCUGAGACCUU
rnacentral:lncRNA from 1 species